UACGAAGGGGGCUAGCGUUGCUCGGAUUUACUGGGCGUAAAGGGCGCGUAGGCGGACAGUUUAGUCAGGGGUGAAAUCCCGGGGCUCAACCUCGGAACUGCCUUUGAUACAGCACGUCUCGAGUCCGGAAGAGGUGGGUGGAAUUCCUAGUGUAGAGGUGAAAUUCGUAGAUAUUAGGAAGAACACCGGUGGCGAAGGCGGCCCACUGGUCCGGUACUGACGCUGAGGUGCGAAAGCGUGGGGAGCAAACAGG
rnacentral:rRNA from 1 species